AGCAGCCGCGGUAAUUCCAGCUCCAAUAGCGUAUAUUAAAGUUGUUGCAGUUAAAAAGCUCGUAGUUGAAUUUCGGGAUCAAUAUAUUGGUCAUGCUUAGGUAUGUACUGGUAUUAUUGAUUUCUCCCUUCUGAAGAACCAUGAUGUCAUUAAUUUGAUGUCGUGGGGAAUCAGGACUGUUACUUUGAAAAAUUAGAGUGUUUAAAGCAGGCUUUCGCUUGAAUACAUUAGCAUGGAAUAAUGAAAUAGGACGUUUGAUUCUAUUUUGUUGGUUUCUAGGAUCGACGUAAUGAUUAAUAGGGAUAGUUGGGGGCAUUAGUAUUCAAUUGUCAGAGGUGAAAUUCUUGGAUUUUAUUGAAGACUAACUACUGCGAAAGCAUUUGCCAAGGAUGUUUUCAUUAAUCAAGAACGAAAGUUAGAGGAUCGAAGACGAUCAGAUACCGUCGUAGUCUUAACCAUAAACUAUGCCGACUAGG
rnacentral:rRNA from 1 species